AUUGAGCGCUGGCGGCAUGCUUUACACAUGCAAGUCGAACGGUAACAGGCCGCAAGGUGCUGACGAGUGGCGAACGGGUGAGUAAUGCAUCGGAACGUGCCCAGUCGUGGGGGAUAACUACUCGAAAGAGUAGCUAAUACCGCAUACGAUCUAUGGAUGAAAGCGGGGGACCGUAAGGCCUCGCGCGAUUGGAGCGGCCGAUGUCAGAUUAGGUAGUUGGUGGGGUAAAGGCUCACCAAGCCAACGAUCUGUAGCUGGUCUGAGAGGACGACCAGCCACACUGGGACUGAGACACGGCCCAGACUCCUACGGGAGGCAGCAGUGGGGAAUGUUGGACAAUGGGCGCAAGCCUGAUCCAGCAAUGCCGCGUGCAGGAAGAAGGCCUUCGGGUUGUAAACUGCUUUUGUACGGAACGAAACGGCUCUGGUUAAUACCCGGGGCUAAUGACGGUACCGUAAGAAUAAGCACCGGCUAACUACGUG
rnacentral:rRNA from 1 species